UCUUUGAAAUUUGCGGUUCCCCGAGUAUAUAUAUGCCCAGGUUCUGUGCUUGACGGCGUUCCUAAAUUUACUGCAAAUGAAUUAAGAAGACAACGAGACCGAGAGCGGUACGCGUCACUCAGCGUUGAGGAGAAGGCAGCUCUGGUUCAAAAGAACCGUGAAAAUAGGAGGAAGAAGGAGUCUGCAACUACAUCGGGCACAGUUUUCAAUCAGAGUUUGCAUAAUGGAGGCCAAACUGUAAAUUGUCAGCCAUCAUUUCAGGCUGUGCCUUCCUCCACACCUGUUGUGCUUGGCGAUAUUACAAGUUUGAGUUUGCAUAAUGGAAGCCAAACUGUAGAUUGUCAGCCAUCAUUUCAACCAGAGCCUUCCUCCACACCUGUGUCUUCUUGCACACCUGGUAAUGUCUUGUGGAAUCAAUUUGUUCUAACAGAUUACUCUUCGCCCCACCAAUCUAAUAUUACAGACACACCACUCACACCAGCGAAUGAGCUCAAGAUGGAUGGUAGUGAUGACUACUCCUGGCUGCGGCGGAAUGAUGCAUAUGAGCGGCGAGCAUGCUGCAACAUUGAUCUAAUGGAAGGAGAGGCCAUAGUAGAUGAUGAUGAUGACGACGACGACGAAAGUUAUCUCAUGAGGGGACGAGAGGUCAGAAACUCAUUGAUGAAAGAACCAACCCUGCAUGAUGCCAUUAAAAUUGCUGUGACCUAUAGGAAGCAAGAGCUGCUGCAAUUGCAACAACAAAACAACGAUCCAGCAGAGCCAGAAGUGGUGAUAGUUGAAGAUGAUGAAGUGGUGAUUGAGCCAGUGCCAAAAAAGAAGCGCACCGGCAAUAAGGGAUUCACUAUCCCUCCAGGAGUUGAAGUUAUCGAUAUACCCUCUACUCCUUAG
rnacentral:lncRNA from 1 species